AUUGAACGCUAGCGGGAUGCCUUACACAUGCAAGUCGAACGGGGUGGCGAACGGGUGAGUAAUGUAUCGGAACGUGCCCAGUAGCGGGGGCUAACUACGCGAACGCGUAGCUACUACCGAUUCCUAUUGGAGCGGCAGAUAUCGGCUUCGCUAGUGGGUGGGGUAACGGAUCACCAAGGCGACGAUCCGUAGCCGGUUUGAGAGGACGACCAGCCACACGGGGACUGAGACACGGCCCAGACUCCUACGGGAGGCAGCAGUGGGGAAUUUUGGACAAUGGGGGAAACCCUGAUCCAGCCAUCCCGCGUGUGCGAUGAAGGCCUUCGGGUUGUAAAGCACUUUUGGCAGGAAAGCGGUACCUGCAGAAUAAGCACCGGCUAACUACGUGCCAGCCGCCGCGGUAAUUC
rnacentral:rRNA from 1 species